rnacentral:rRNA from 1 species
AUUGAACGCUAACGGCGUGCUUAACACAUGCAAGUCGAGCGGCAGCAUGACUGUAGCAAUACAGUUGAUGGCGAGCGGCGGACGGGUGAGUAAUGCAUAGGAAUCUGCCUUGUAGUGGGGGAUAACCCGGGGAAACUCGGGCUAAUACCGCAUAAUCUCUACGGAGCAAAGUGGGGGACCUUCGGGCCCUACGCUAAAAGAUGAGCCUAUGUUGGAUUAGCUAGUUGGUAGGGUAAGGGCCUACCAAGGCAACGAUCCAUAGCUGGUCUGGGAGGAUGAUCAGCCACACUGGGACUGAGACACGGCCCAGACUCCUACGGGAGGCAGCAGUGGGGAAUAGUGGACAAUGGGCGAAAGCCUGAUCCAGCAACGCCGUGUGUGUGAAGAAGGCCUUCGGGUUGUAAAGCACUUUUAGUGGGGAAGAAAAGUUCAUGGCUGAUAUCCAUGAAUGCUGACGUUACCCACGGAAAAAGCACUGGCUAACUCUGUGCCAGCCGCCGCGGUAA